rnacentral:rRNA from 1 species
UUUUCCUACGGGAGGCAGCAGUGAGGAAUAUUGGUCAAUGGGCGGGAGCCUGAACCAGCCAAGUCGCGUGAAGGAAGAAGGUACUUAGUAUUGUAAACUUCUUUUGUCGGGGAACAAAGGCGGAGACGCGUCUCCGGAUGAGUGUACCCGAAGAAAAAGCAUCGGCUAACUCCGUGCCAGCAGCCGCGGUAAUACGGAGGAUGCGAGCGUUAUCCGGAUUUAUUGGGUUUAAAGGGUGCGCAGGCGGCACGGCAAGCCGGCGGUCAAAUCGCGGGGCUCAACCCCCCCCAGCCGGCUGAAGUGCC